AUACGGAGGAUGCGAGCGUUAUCCGGAUUUAUUGGGUUUAAAGGGUGCGUAGGCUGUGCGUUAAGUCAGGGGUGAAAUGCCGUCGCUCAACGACGGAGCUGCCCUUGAUACUGGCGUGCUGGAGUACGGAUGCCGUUGGAGGAAUGAGUGGUGUAGCGGUGAAAUGCUUAGAUAUCACUCAGAACACCGAUUGCGAAGGCUGCUGACGAAUCCGUCACGGACGCUGAGGCACGAAAGCGUGGGGAUAGAACAGGAUUAGAUACCCUGGUAUUCCACGCCCUAAACGAUGAUGACUAACCGUCGGCGAUAGACAGCCGGUGGCCAAGCGAAAGCGAUAAGUCAUCCACCUGGGGAGUACGUCGGCAACGAUGAAACUCAAAUGAAUUGACGGGG
rnacentral:rRNA from 1 species